rnacentral:lncRNA from 1 species
UGGUGAGGUCUGCCAGCUCAGUCCACCGAUAAACAUUUUACUAGAGGGAGAAAACAUAACAGAAGUGAGCACCGAUGUCAGAUCGGCCAUUUUGACGUGUAACUUACAAAAGCUAAAAGGAAAGCGGGGGGGAGCGAGCGAGCGAGAGCCGGGAGGUGGGGUGGGGGAGAAGGUGACGGCGAAAUGCAAUCCAAAGGGGGAGCUUGCUGUGGCUCCUCACCCGGACCUGGGAGAAGACGCCCCCCACCCUCUCUAGUUCGCCCUCUCCAUUCAAGUUUGCCGGCCCCUGCCGCCGAGAUCCGGGGAUGGCACCAGCCGCCCGCCCUCCGCUGUGCCCUGUUUCCAGCCACCGCUCAGAAAUUUAGGUCAAGGACGUCGGGAGCAAACCCACACCCUGGCGCUCCUUUGGCGGCCCCCGAGACGCCCCAGGAUCGGGGGGCUUCAGGAUGGCGGCGACCCUCCUGCACAAACACCAGCCACAAGUUUUAUUUUCCUUUUGCGCUGGAAGUUCUCUCUGGCUCUCGCUCCACACCGGCACGUCUUGCGCGGUUCCCCGCCCUUCCCCAGUAGAGAUUAGGAGACAAAGGAAUACACUCAACACCAAAACUGUACCAAAUCCACCGUGGGCUUUGGAAAAAUGGAAUAUUGGGAAAAUCUCAACACCAGCCAUAGCCUUGAGUGACCAGACUCUCAGUCUCCCUGUUCCCUAA